rnacentral:rRNA from 1 species
CAUAACCUUUAGCUAAACCAGUAUUAAAGGCAACGCCUGCCCAGUGAAUAAUUAAACGGCCGCGGUACCCUAACCGUGCAAAGGUAGCGUAAUCAUUUGUCUAUUAAUUGUAGACCCGUAUGAAAGGCAUAAUGAGGGUUUAACUGUCUCUUUUAGUAAAUCAAUUAAACUGAUCUCCUAGUCCAAAAGCUAGGAUACCACCAUAAGACCAGAAGACCCUGUGAAACUUUAACUAAAAUAUUAAAGCCUAUAAUAACUACUUUAGGUUGGGGCGACCUUGGAAAAUAAAAGAACUUCCACACAUAUUAUACAAUAAUAUAUAACCGGCCAACAAGCCUACAACGACCCAGCACAGCUGAUAAUUGAACCAAGCUACUCCAGGGAUAACAGCGCUAUCUUCUUCAAGAGCCCAUAUCAAAAAGAAGGUUUACGACCUCGAUGUUGGAUCAGGACAUCCUAAUGGUGCAACCGCUAUUAAGGGUUCGUUUGUUCAACGAUUAAUAGUCCUACGUGAUCU